rnacentral:rRNA from 1 species
AUUGAACGCUGGCGGCAUGCCUUACACAUGCAAGUCGAACGGUAACGGGCCUUCGGGUGCCGACGAGUGGCGAACGGGUGAGUAAUACAUCGGAACGUGCCCGAUCGUGGGGGAUAACGAGGCGAAAGCUUUGCUAAUACCGCAUACGAUCUACGGAUGAAAGCAGGGGACCGCAAGGCCUUGCGCGGACGGAGCGGCCGAUGGCAGAUUAGGUAGUUGGUGGGAUAAAAGCUUACCAAGCCGACGAUCUGUAGCUGGUCUGAGAGGAUGAUCAGCCACACUGGGACUGAGACACGGCCCAGACUCCUACGGGAGGCAGCAGUGGGGAACUUUGGACAAUGGGCGCAAGCCUGAUCCAGCCACGCCGCGUGCAGGAUGAAGGCCUUCGGGUUGUAAACUGCUUUUGUACGGAACGAAAAGCCUUCUUUUAAUACAGGAGGGUCAUGACGGUACCGUAAGAAUAAGCACCGGCUAACUACGUG